UGUGAGCUCGAUGAGUAGGGCGGGACACGUGGUAUCCUGUCUGAAUAUGGGGGGACCAUCCUCCAAGGCUAAAUACUCCUGACUGACCGAUAGUGAACCAGUACCGUGAGGGAAAGGCGAAAAGAACCCCGGCGAGGGGAGUGAAAAAGAACCUGAAACCGUGUACGUACAAGCAGUGGGAGCACGCUUAGGCGUGUGACUGCGUACCUUUUGUAUAAUGGGUCAGCGACUUAUAUUCUGUAGCAAGGUUAACCGAAUAGGGGAGCCGAAGGGAAACCGAGUCUUAACUGGGCGUUAAGUUGCAGGGUAUAGACCCGAAACCCGGUGAUCUAGCCAUGGGCAGGUUGAAGGUUGGGUAACACUAACUGGAGGACCGAACCGACUAAUGUUGAAAAAUUAGCGGAUGACUUGUGGCUGGGGGUGAAAGGCCAAUCAAACCGGGAGAUAGCUGGUUCUCCCCGAAAGCUAUUUAGGUAGCGCCUCGUGAAUUCAUCUCCGGGGGUAGAGCACUGUUUCGGCAAGGGGGUCAUCCCGACUUACCAACCCGAUGCAAACUGCGAAUACCGGAGAAUGUUAUCACGGGAGACACACGGCGGGUGCUAACGUCCGUCGUGAAGAGGGAAACAACCCAGACCGCCAGCUAAGGUCCCAAAGUCAUGGUUAAGUGGGAAACGAUGUGGGAAGGCCCAGACAGCCAGGAUGUUGGCUUAGAAGCAGCCAUCAUUUAAAGAAAGCGUAAUAGCUCACUGGUCGAGUCGGCCUGCGCGGAAGAUGUAACGGGGCUAAACCAUGCACCGAAGCUGCGGCAGCGACGCUGAUGCGUUGUUGGGUAGGGGAGCGUUCUGUAAGCCUGCGAAGGUGUGCUGUGAGGCAUGCUGGAGGUAUCAGAAGUGCGAAUGCUGACAUAAGUAACGAUAAAGCGGGUGAAAAGCCCGCUCGCCGGAAGACCAAGGGUUCCUGUCCAACGUUAAUCGGGGCAGGGUGAGUCGACCCCUAAGGCGAGGCCGAAAGGCGUAGUCGAUGGGAAACAGGUUAAUAUUCCUGUACUUGGUGUUACUGCGAAGGGGGGACGGAGAAGGCUAUGUUGGCCGGGCGACGGUUGUCCCGGUUUAAGCGUGUAGGCUGGUUUUCCAGGCAAAUCCGGAAAAUCAAGGCUGAGGCGUGAUGACGAGGCACUACGGUGCUGAAGCAACAAAUGCCCUGCUUCCAGGAAAAGCCUCUAAGCAUCAGGUAACAUCAAAUCGUACCCCAAACCGACACAGGUGGUCAGGUAGAGAAUACCAAGGCGCUUGAGAGAACUCGGGUGAAGGAACUAGGCAAAAUGGUGCCGUAACUUCGGGAGAAGGCACGCUGAUAUGUAGGUGAAGUCCCUUGCGGAUGGAGCUGAAAUCAGUCGAAGAUACCAGCUGGCUGCAACUGUUUAUUAAAAACACAGCACUGUGCAAACACGAAAGUGGACGUAUACGGUGUGACGCCUGCCCGGUGCCGGAAGGUUAAUUGAUGGGGUCAGCGCAAGCGAAGCUCUUGAUCGAAGCCCCGGUAAACGGCGGCCGUAACUAUAACGGUCCUAAGGUAGCGAAAUUCCUUGUCGGGUAAGUUCCGACCUGCACGAAUGGCGUAAUGAUGGCCAGGCUGUCUCCACCCGAGACUCAGUGAAAUUGAACUCGCUGUGAAGAUGCAGUGUACCCGCGGCAAGACGGAAAGACCCCGUGAACCUUUACUAUAGCUUGACACUGAACAUUGAGCCUUGAUGUGUAGGAUAGGUGGGAGGCUUUGAAGUGUGGACGCCAGUCUGCAUGGAGCCGACCUUGAAAUACCACCCUUUAAUGUUUGAUGUUCUAACGUUGACCCGUAAUCCGGGUUGCGGACAGUGUCUGGUGGGUAGUUUGACUGGGGCGGUCUCCUCCUAAAGAGUAACGGAGGAGCACGAAGGUUGGCUAAUCCUGGUCGGACAUCAGGAGGUUAGUGCAAUGGCAUAAGCCAGCUUGACUGCGAGCGUGACGGCGCGAGCAGGUGCGAAAGCAGGUCAUAGUGAUCCGGUGGUUCUGAAUGGAAGGGCCAUCGCUCAACGGAUAAAAGGUACUCCGGGGAUAACAGGCUGAUACCGCCCAAGAGUUCAUAUCGACGGCGGUGUUUGGCACCUCGAUGUCGGCUCAUCACAUCCUGGGGCUGAAGUAGGUCCCAAGGGUAUGGCUGUUCGCCAUUUAAAGUGGUACGCGAGCUGGGUUUAGAACGUCGUGAGACAGUUCGGUCCCUAUCUGCCGUGGGCGCUGGAGAACUGAGGGGGGCUGCUCCUAGUACGAGAGGACCGGAGUGGACGCAUCACUGGUGUUCGGGUUGUCAUGCCAAUGGCACUGCCCGGUAGCUAAAUGCGGAAGAGAUAAGUGCUGAAAGCAUCUAAGCACGAAACUUGCCCCGAGAUGAGUUCUCCCUGACCCUUUAAGGGUCCUGAAGGAACGUUGAAGACGACGACGUUGAUAGGCCGGGUGUGUAAGCGCAGCGAUGCGUUGAGCUAACCGGUACUAAUGAACCGUGAGGCUUAACCUU
rnacentral:rRNA from 1 species